AAUCUAGCCCUAGCAUGCAAUAAAAAUAAGGCUAAGCAAACCGUUACUAAAUUAGACUUGGCCUCCUGCCAUGAUCUAGCUUCAAGUAACGGGAACCUGCAUUAAAAUAAGUCAACAACCAAUCCUUAGUUAACCAUAUAUACGCCUGAGUUCAGUACUCAUGUAGUGUUAGAUACAUACACUAUACAAGUAUCAUUAACCGGUCGACCAACAAUCAAACAAGAACAUGAUCGGCCAACCAAUGAUACCGCAUAGCUUAUGAUAUCCACCACCCUUCACAAGCAAUCCCUCAAACACAUACAUGCCAACGUCAGGCCUACACUAACCAAAUACAAACCAAGCCUAAUCUGGUACCUAAACCAGACUUAGGACUUAAUAUCAGAACCUGCAAGGAAACAAUCAACAACCAAACACAAUCACAAUAAUAACUAUGAGUAACUACGACUAGAUCUAACUCGUAACACCGUAUAUCGGUGCUACACUAACUCGGGGGUUCCAUAACCCUCUACGACAAACUAACACAACACCACACUCUAACCCAGGAAAUGGUGACUUUGUGUUCCUCCUCAUCAUCCUCGGCAAUAUCCUAUCUCCCUAUCACAAAGACUAGGAGAAGAAACUUUCAACCGAACGCGGCCCACAGUACGUUCGGGUCACCGCGCGACAGCCCCAGUACGUUCGGACCACUGCCGGUUGUCACACGACGAUUGCGGCCCACUGUACGUUCGGGUCACCGCAAGACAGCCCACAGUACGUUCGGGUCACUACCGGUCACUACCCCGUCGUGCAACCACUCAGCUAUAGGCCACGACCUCAUCUCUCUGAGUGCUCUCGAUCCAGCGAAUAAGGGGUUUCCUUAAACCCGCUGGGUACGAGGUUGAGGAAACACUAAUCAACCCCUAAACAUGCCUAGCAUGGUGGGUUAUACACAAGCUAUAUGGCAUCACACUCUACUCUACGACACUAACAACAAUAUCAUCACUAAACAACUUAACCAGUUAGUCACUCCCUUACCAAGAGAUGACUAACCUCAAUCAACAAGAUUAAUUAAACGAGUAAGCAUUUAAUUAAAUCUACUCAAGCAAUCAACUCAAUCAAACCGUUACCCAGAUAGUCCAGCCUCCUGCUGAGAAACUAUCUUUAAAGAUAAUGGGAACCUGCACUCAACCAUAUCAACACGCAAGAAUAUAAAUCACGAUGCACCCUAGUCCUAAUCAGGUUAUUAUCUCAGUCUUAAUUCCAUUUCUUCUCAGCUUAGCCUGUGCUGAGUCCGUUUUAAUAAAUAACCCUAAGGACUCUAUCAUGAAACAGCAUGAGCAUUCUACUCUAUAUGCGACUCAAUCUUCCCUAAGUUCCAAGUAGAACUCAAACAAACCAACUCAAAACUACCCAAGCCAACUCACAGUGUUCUAGGCGAGAAGCAGCUGGUUGAUUGGAGAGGACUUAACCAAAACCCAAGAUGAACGUCUGGAGUGGACUGGACUGAUCUUGUCUUGGACAGAACCACGGCUUGAUCAUGUAGACACUGACAGGCCUCGACAGACUGAUCUGGACUCGGACAGAACCUUCUUUAGCUUCUGGACCGUUCUUCGGCUUUCCGCGGAGUAUCGAGCAGAACUUCGACUUAUCUAAACCCGUGGAACUGAACUAAUCUUGGACAGCACCGCCACUUGAUUGUAGGAGAAUAUGACUGGCUUGGACGAAUUGAAUUGGACAGAGCUUCCGUGUCACAAUCGUAGAGAAUCAUCGAUGGGACGGAACUGGCCUUCUCGGUGAAAUAUCGUUCUUCAGAAUCGACCAUACUCUACCUCGACCACUUUCUUUCUCUCUCUCUCUCUCUCUCUCUCUCUGUCUCUCUCUCUCUCUCUCUCUCUCUCUCUGUCUCUCUCUGUCCACGUUUUGGAGUGGCUUCCCAUCUGAACUGUCUUCAACUGAACAGAACCUCCCCUAGGCGCUGACUCGAAAUCAGUAGAGAACUGACCUCGAAAACUCUCUAAAACUCUCGAAAUAGCUCGGAAGCACUUGCUUUCUUUUUCUACUUUUAUCUCACGGUUUUAACUUGGUUUGGACAGGUCUGGAUGUAAUGAAAUGACCUGGGGUCGUGGACUAUUUAUAGAAGACAGUAACCAAUCAGCUUCAGGUUGGUGGCAGCCCGUGUGUCGCUUCGCAUGGCUCCGGGCGCAUGCGCGGCAGCACCUCGUGCUCCACAUGGCUGGCUGCAUGUUCAGGACACAUGCAGGACGCCACCACUCCUCCCAGAUGUCAGGCUGCAUGACUGUAACUUAUGCAAGGCGCCACAGCAUCACACACAUGGCUGGCCGCAUGCUUCGGUUGCAUGCGCGGAGACACCUCGUGCUUGGUUGAUCCACCUCGUGCUUCUACAUGUCAGGCUGCAUGUACAACUUCCAUGCACGGUGACACCUCGUGCUUCUGGAGACAAUCAGCUUGUUAGAUGGUUGACACCACGUUCUGAACCCAUGCAACGAGCCACCUCGAGCUUCUCGGUUCAUUCGCUUGAUUUCGGUCAUUCCGGCAAUUUUCUGAUCCGCGAUUAACCCCGAAUAUUUUUCUGCUCCCGUUCAGAUGAGUUUAAUAUUUUUAAUAAACUCCAAUCUGAACUCUGACCUUGGCCGUAAAUAUUUCCCGAUCCUUCGGCCUCAUCGAAAACUUCCAUAAUACCGAAAUUAGGGUUUUCGUCUAAUUUCGGGUUUUCCCGUCGUGCUUCGAUCUCGUCGUGCUUGCUUCCCGUCCUGCUUAACUCCCGUUCUGCUUCCAAUGUCUUCGAAAUAAUAUUCCGCUGAUACGAAGUUUCGCGGAAAACUUCGUGCUGAAGAAACGUCAUUCUUCCAAAGCGUCGAGCUUCUAAACCGUCGUGCUUCCAAAAACGUGAUGCUUCCAAAAUGUCUGUCUAAUCAAUCUAAGACAUCUUCUAACUAUGGUCGAGAAACUUUUUUGACUCAUAGUUCACUCACAAUCAAUUCUUCGCCCACCUCGUACUUCAAAGCUUUUCGAUCGAUCCAUAUCGCCCGAGACUCGACCACCACAAAGAUACUCGACCAUUCUCUCUCUCUUUUCUUUUUUUUUUUUUUUUAACGGGUUUCUACAUUCUCCUUCCCCUUAAUAGAAUUCGUCCUCGAAUUCUUAGUUGCACAAUUGCUCAUCUUCACAACAUUCUGCACUCCUCUCCAUAACCUCUUUACUCUGUCCACUACGGUUCCUUGAGUGUCCUCUUCAAAGCCUCCACAAUCGUCUUCAUUCAUCUUAACUGGAAUGAUCACUGACUCGUCCUCUUGCUUUUACUCUGCCAUAACACACUCAUUGCCCAUGAUACUAUCUUGUCCUUUCGAUAGAUAUCAUCCUUGUCCAGAUUCCUCAAAUCCUUCUCGAUCUUUGUCUUCCCAACUACUGAUGAAGUCAUUCCCCAACAAAGUCUUGUUUUCUCCCAUCUGUCCAGUCCAUACCACAGUCCAGUUCUCUGAAUCUGUCUCUCCUCUUUCGCUUCGGGUUUGGGUUUGGCCUCGAACUCCCUCCACUUUAAGGUUUUCAUCCCUUAAAGUUCCGAUCAACGAACACACUUACUCGCUGCAACUCAAAAGAACACUUCACACGCAAGUUAGUAGACAAUUAACCAAAUAAUCUACUAACCUAACAAAUUCUAACAAUUCAACCUAACCACAAUUCUAACCAGAAACCUAGCAAUUCUAACCAAGCAACCUAGCAAUUCUAGAUUCCACUAUUUCAAUCCUAAUUCCUAAAACCACAAAUUAUAUCGCUGGACGGGACCGGUUUCCCUAAUGCCUUUUGCGACUCUUUUUGAUUCGAUAAAAUAUUUAAAACCGAUUAAAUCAUGAGUUCCGGAAGCAUGGACGAAACCAUGCUCUGAUACCACCUCUGUAACACCCCCGAACCGUCCUAGAGAUAGAGUUGAUCAACCGGCCAACAAUCAAAUAAGAACAUGACCGAUCGACCGUCCAACACCCAGGGUUAGAGAUGAAUGAGCCAACCGGCCAGCCAACAAUCAAACAAGAACAUGACUGACCGUCCAACCCCACACCAUGGUCCGGAAGCGCUACGUGACGGGCUAGGGACGAUCCGGUCAAGUCACAAAAAUUACUCCACGACUUAGACCAGUUCAUCCACUAAUUCGUCCCGCUAAUCAAGGCGAAAUGCUUUUCAACCUGUACCUAGAGUUAGCGUUUUCCGUUAGAUCAGGGCCUUAGGCUUUUCAACCCGUACCAUGACCUAACGUUGUGUUAGACCGGACUAGUCAAAUAUCAGAGGACUCAUGAAGUGCAUAUAAAACAAUUACUUCUAUUGAUUCAAGAAAUAUCCAUACAUUGAUAUAAUUCGAGACCGGUCCCGACCUAAUGCCAAAUCGAGUCAACUAAACACAAUUCAGAAUACCGUUUACAAAAGGCAUGAAAAUCUACACUGGCGGUCCUAAAAUCCAUCACCAAGCUAUCCGAUCAUCCUUACCUAAAGCGACCUGCAAAAAGGACAACGGAGUUGGAUGAGUAAUCUAGUAUUACUCAGUGAACUGGCGGCCUCUACCCGCAACCUUGACUCUAACCCAGACAACCCAAAAUAACAAUCAAUAUAGCUCUAGCAUGCAAUCAAAGCUAAGGCUAAGCAAAUCGUUACUAAGUUAGACUUGGCCUCCUGCCAUGAUCUAGCUUCAAGUAACGGGAACUUGCAUUAAAACAAGUCAACAACCAAUCCCUAGUUAACCAUAUAUACGCCUGAGUUCAGUACUCAUGUAGUGUUAGAUACAUACACUAUACAAGUAUCAUUAACCGAUCGACCAACAAUCAAACAAGAAUAUGAUCGGCCAACCAAUGAUACCGCAUAGCUU
rnacentral:lncRNA from 1 species